UACGGAGGGUGCGAGCGUUGUCCGGAAUCAUUGGGCGUAAAGGGCGCGUAGGUGGCCCGGUCAGUUCGUGGUGAAAGCGCGGGGCUCAACUCCGCGUCGGCCAUGAAUACUGCUGGGCUGGAGCACUGUAGAGGCAGGCGGAAUUCCGGGUGUAGCGGUGGAAUGCGUAGAGAUCCGGAAGAACACCGGUGACGAAGGCGGCCUGCUGGGCAGUUGCUGACACUGAGGCGCGACAGCGUGGGGAGCAAACAGG
rnacentral:rRNA from 1 species